CUCCGUCAUCAGGUGAUGUCAGGCGGAACGUGCGUCCAUACGUGGCGAAUCCCAUCAUCAGCUUCUCUACUGGAAAACCUUGGUCUCGCCAAUACCUCAUGGCAAAAUCCUGGAGAGAAAACAUGCAAUAAAUACAUGAGCUGGUGAUAACAGCCUGGACAUCAGUCAGCGGAGCCCUGGUACAGAGGGCUGUUGUGUCCGGUGAAGUUGUCCCAGGCUCCAUGAAAGUCAUAGGUCAUCACAUUGAUAAAGUCCAGGUGACAUGGCCAUGGGUAUAUUCUGAUACUCA